rnacentral:rRNA from 1 species
AACGAACGCUGGCGGCAUGCCUAAUACAUGCAAGUCGAACGAGAUCUUCGGAUCUAGUGGCGCACGGGUGCGUAACGCGUGGGAAUCUGCCCUUGGGUUCGGAAUAACUUCGGGAAACUGAAGCUAAUACCGGAUGAUGACGUAAGUCCAAAGAUUUAUCGCCCAAGGAUGAGCCCGCGUAGGAUUAGGUAGUUGGUGAGGUAAAGGCUCACCAAGCCUACGAUCCUUAGCUGGUCUGAGAGGAUGAUCAGCCACACUGGGACUGAGACACGGCCCAGACUCCUACGGGAGGCAGCAGUAGGGAAUAUUGGACAAUGGGGGCAACCCUGAUCCAGCAAUGCCGCGUGAGCGAUGAAGGCCUUAGGGUUGUAAAGCUCUUUCGCCCGGGAUGAUAAUGACAGUACCGGGAGAAUAAGCCCCGGCUAACUCCGUGCCAGCCGCCGCGGUAA